UUGGAGGGCAAGUCUGGUGCCAGCAGCCGCGGUAAUUCCAGCUCCAAUAGCGUAUAUUAAAGUUGUUGCAGUUAAAAAGCUCGUAGUUGAAUUUCGGGGUUCUACCGUUGGUCGGGCUUUGUCUGUACUGGUGUGUAGAAUUUCUACCUUCUGGGGAACCAUCAUGCUAUUAAUUUAGCGUGGUGGGAAACCAGGACCUUUACCUCGAAAAAAUUAGUGUGUUCAAAGCAGGCUUAUGUCUGAAUACAUUAGCGUGGAAUAAUAGAAUAGGACGGUGGUCCUGUUUUGUUGGUUUCUGAAUCACCGUAAUGAUUAAUAGGGAUAGUUGGGGGCAUUAGUAUUCAAUUGUCAGAGGUGAAAUUCUUGGAUUUAUUGAAGACUAACUUCUGCGAAAGCAUUUGCCAAGGAUGUUUUCAUUAAUCAAGAACGAAAGUUAGGGGAUCGAAGACGAUCAGAUACCGUCGUAGUCUUAACCAUAAACUAUGCCGACUAGGGAUCGGACGAUGUUAAUUUUUCUUGACUCGUUCGGCGCCUUACGGGAAAC
rnacentral:rRNA from 1 species